ACAAAGGAAAAAGUGAAGCUGCCAGCAUGAUCUAGGUAUGGUUAUAGAAUAUUGUUACUGUUUAUGUGGAAGCUAUAUACAUAACCCUGACUAGGUCAUGCUGUGCUAGCCUCACUCCUUCCUAUU
rnacentral:pre_miRNA from 1 species